rnacentral:tRNA from 1 species
CGGGGCGUAGCGCAGCCCGGUAGCGCACCUGCUUCGGGAGCAGGGGGUCGUCGGUUCAAAUCCGACCGCCCCGACCA